rnacentral:rRNA from 1 species
CAGAGGGGCUAGCGUUGUUCGGAAUUACUGGGCGUAAAGCGCGCGUAGGCGGCGCGAUAAGUUAGGAGUGAAAUCCCAGGGCUUAACCCUGGAAUUGCUCUUAAGACUGUCGUGCUAGAGGUUGGUAGAGGAUGGUAGAAUUCCUAGUGUAGCGGUGAAAUGCGUAGAUAUUAGGAGGAAUACCAGUGGCGAAGGCGGCCAUCUGGACCAAUUCUGACGCUAAAGUGCGAAAGCGUGGGGAUCAAACAGGAUUAGAUACCCUGGUAGUCCACGCCGUAAACGAUGGAUACUAGACGUUGGGGGGUUACCCCUCAGUGUCGUAGCUAACGCGUUAAGUAUCCCGCCUGGGGAGUACGGUCGCAAGAUUA